CCCUAUGGGGUGCAGCAGGUGUGUUCGCAACUAUAUUUUGGGAAAAGUUGGAGGGGUUAGGAUGUGGAUACAGAUUUCACAGAUUGACACAUUGAACUGGAUAUGAUUACCUCGCGUUCCCAAGAGAAGCCGGAGAAGCCUGAUUCGGCGAUUCGCACAGUUUCUUGUCGCCAGAGUAGAACCAGUAUCCCGGAUCCCAAAUCUCAGUCCUCGCUUGUUUAACAUGCAUAGCCUCACUCAUAAGCGUAUAAUGAUUUAAUGAAAGGAAGUUUGCACGGAAUGCCUGAUCCAAACCAGUUGCCUUAUGUCAUUCAACUUCUUGAGGAUCCAUCCGAAGUGGUGCAGGAAGCCAUCGCGGAUGAAUUGGCGGGGGGGC
rnacentral:rRNA from 1 species